ACGUAAUAGAUACCCUGGUAGUCCACGCCCUAAACGAUGUCUACUAGUUGUUGGUGGAGUAAAAUCCAUGAGUAAACGCAGCUAAACGCGUGAAGUAGACCGCCUGGGGAGUACGGUCGCAAGAUUAAAACUCAAAGGAAUUGACGGGGGCCCGGCACAAGCGGUGGAUUAUGUGGAUUAAAUUCGAUGCAACGCGAAAAACCUUAACCUGGCCGUUGUACAUGCCACUAACGAAGCAGAGAUGCAUUAGGUGCCGUAACGGGAAAGUGGACACAGGUGCUGCAUGGCUGUCGUCAGCUCGUGUCGUGAGAUGUUGGGUUAAGUCCCGCAACGAGCGCAACCCUUGCCAUU
rnacentral:rRNA from 1 species